GUGCCAGCAGCCGCGGUAAUACGGAGGAUCCAAGCGUUAUCCGGAAUCAUUGGGUUUAAAGGGUCCGUAGGUGGACAAAUAAGUCAGAGGUGAAAUCCUGCAGCUCAACUGUAGAACUGCCUUUGAUACUGUUUGUCUUGAGUUAUUAUGAAGUGGUUAGAAUGUGUAGUGUAGCGGUGAAAUGCAUAGAUAUUACACAGAAUACCGAUUGCGAAGGCAGAUCACUAAUAAUUAACUGACACUGAGGGACGAAAGCGUGGGUAGCGAACAGGAUUAGAUACCCUGGUAGUCCACGCCGUAAACGAUGGUCACUAGCUGUUUGGACUUCGGUCUGAGUAGCUAAGCGAAAGUGAUAAGUGACCCACCUGGGGAGUACGUUCGCAAGAAUGAAACUCAAAUAAAUUGACGG
rnacentral:rRNA from 1 species